rnacentral:lncRNA from 1 species
GAAUAUUGAAGGCAUGAUUGUUGGGGGUUAGUAGAUAAGAGAAACAAGCAGAGGUGCUAUAAUCUGAUGAGACAAAAUACAGAAAAAGAUUAAGGAAAAUGUUGGGAGAAUGACCUAGAAGCAGCGAAAAGAAAGAUGAGGUUACCUAUUCGACUACCCAGCCUGGUUCUGUGGGGGCUGUGAGAAGAAACAGCCAUCAGUUGUGCAUGGUUAUUCAGAAGAUGACCCAAGGUUCUUUGAAUUUUUUUCUGGUGCCAGACAUAAACUGGAAAAAGAUUCACCCUAAGCUACCAUCUAUUGCCAACUUCCUCUUUUUGUUUCCUCUCCGAAGCCCGACUGCAUGGUUGUGUAUCCUGGUUGUAAGUCCUUCUAGUUCUAUGUGAGCUGCUGCCACAGCACGGCUACUGACAGGAUGCCUGCCACAGCAUGGCUUGCCAGGUGGUGCCAUGUCUGCAUCCGGGAUCUGAAUGGGCGAACCCCAGGCUGCUGAAGCGGAACAUGAGCACUCUACUGCUGAGCCACCCGGCUGGCCCCCUUUUGCCUGUUUUUAAUUGGGAUGUUUAUCUUUUUUAAUUGAGUUGAAAAAGUCUUUUAUAUAUUUUAUAUACAGAUCCUUUAUUAAAAUGGUUUUACAAAUAU